GCUCUCGUGGUCUAGUAGAAUGAUACGCGCUUUGGGUGCACUUUCCCUCCAAGUGAACGCAUGCGCGGGGUCCCGGGUUCAAAUCCCGGCGAGGGUC